UACAGGCUUAACACAUGCAAGUCGAGGGGCAUCAGGAAGAAAGCUUGCUUUCUUUGCUGGCGACCGGCGCACGGGUGAGUAACACGUAUCCAACCUGCCCUUUACUCGGGGAUAGCCUUUCGAAAGAAAGAUUAAUACCCGAUAGCAUAAUGAUUCCGCAUGGUUUCAUUAUUAAAGGAUUCCGGUAAAGGAUGGGGAUGCGUUCCAUUAGGUUGUUGGUGAGGUAACGGCCCACCAAGCCUUCGAUGGAUAGGGGUUCUGAGAGGAAGGUCCCCCACAUUGGAACUGAGACACGGUCCAAACUCCUACGGGAGGCAGCAGUGAGGAAUAUUGGUCAAUGGGCGCUAGCCUGAACCAGCCAAGUAGCGUGAAGGAUGAAGGCUCUAUGGGUCGUAAACUUCUUUUAUAUAAGAAUAAAGUGCAGUAUGUAUACUGUUUUGUAUGUAUUAUAUGAAUAAGGAUCGGCUAACUCCGUGCCAGCAGCCGCGGUAAUACGGAGGAUCCGAGCGUUAUCCGGAUUUAUUGGGUUUAAAGGGAGCGUAGGUGGACUGGUAAGUCAGUUGUGAAAGUUUGCGGCUCAACCGUAAAAUUGCAGUUGAUACUGUCAGUCUUGAGUACAGUAGAGGUGGGCGGAAUUCGUGGUGUAGCGGUGAAAUGCUUAGAUAUCACGAAGAACUCCGAUUGCGAAGGCAGCUCACUGGACUGCAACUGACACUGAUGCUCGAAAGUGUGGGUAUCAAACAGGAUUAGAUACCCUGGUAGUCCACACAGUAAACGAUGAAUACUCGCUGUUUGCGAUAUACAGUAAGCGGCCAAGCGAAAGCAUUAAGUAUUCCACCUGGGGAGUACGCCGGCAACGGUGAAACUCAAAGGAAUUGACGGGGGCCCGCACAAGCGGAGGAACAUGUGGUUUAAUUCGAUGAUACGCGAGGAACCUUACCCGGGCUUAAAUUGCAGUGGAAUGAUGUGGAAACAUGUCAGUGAGCAAUCACCGCUGUGAAGGUGCUGCAUGGUUGUCGUCAGCUCGUGCCGUGAGGUGUCGGCUUAAGUGCCAUAACGAGCGCAACCCUUAUCUUUAGUUACUAACAGGUUAUGCUGAGGACUCUAGAGAGACUGCCGUCGUAAGAUGUGAGGAAGGUGGGGAUGACGUCAAAUCAGCACGGCCCUUACGUCCGGGGCUACACACGUGUUACAAUGGGGGGUACAGAAGGCAGCUAGCGGGUGACCGUAUGCUAAUCCCAAAAUCCUCUCUCAGUUCGGAUCGAAGUCUGCAACCCGACUUCGUGAAGCUGGAUUCGCUAGUAAUCGCGCAUCAGCCACGGCGCGGUGAAUACGUUCCCGGGCCUUGUACACACCGCCCGUCAAGCCAUGGGAGCCGGGGGUACCUGAAGUACGUAACCGCAAGGAUCGUCCUAGGGUAAAACUGGUGACUGGGGCUAAGUCAUAACA
rnacentral:rRNA from 1 species